rnacentral:rRNA from 1 species
GGACGAACGCUAGCGGCGUGCCUAAUGUAUGCAAGUCGAGCGGGGUAAGAGACCUUGGUCUCUUAUUCAGCGGCAAACGGUUGAGUAACACGUAGGCAACCUGCCCCAGAGACGGGGAUAGCCCGCCGAAAGGCGGAUUAAUACCGGAUGUGGCCGGAGGGACAUCCCCUCUGUGCUAAAGGGAGCAAUCCGCUCUGGGAUGGGCCUGCGGCCUAUCAGCUAGUUGGUGAGGUAACGGCUCACCAA